rnacentral:rRNA from 1 species
GAUGAACGCUGGCGGCGUGCCUAAUACAUGCAAGUAGAACGCUGAAGGAAGGAGCUUGCUCUUUCCGGAUGAGUUGCGAACGGGUGAGUAACGCGUAGGUAACCUGCCUGGUAGCGGGGGAUAACUAUUGGAAACGAUAGCUAAUACCGCAUAACAGUAGAUGUUGCAUGAUAUCUACUUAAAAGGUGCAAUUGCACCACUACCAGAUGGACCUGCGUUGUAUUAGCUAGUUGGUGAGGUAACGGCUCACCAAGGCGACGAUACAUAGCCGACCUGAGAGGGUGGACGGCCACCAUGGGACUGGGACACGGCCCAGACUUCUACGGGAGGGAGCAGGAGGGAAUUUUCGGCAAUGGACGGAAGUCUGACCGAACCAAGCCGCGUGAGUGAAGAAGGGUUUCGGAUCGUAAAGCUCUGUUGUAAGAGAAGAAAGAGUGUGAGAGUGGAAAGUUCACGCUGUGACGGUAUCUAAACAGAAAGGGACGGCUAACUACGUG